AUGAAACCUCAGCUGUUGGAUCUGGACAGAGUUUCAGCAUCUCCAGCUUUAACUCCAGUUUCAGUGGACGCUUCUACUGUGAGGCUCAGAAUAAAUAUGGAUCUCAGAGAUCAGCGUCUGUUUCACUCACUGUUAAAGGUGUUGGGAAUAACAAGUAUGCCGUUGCUGUUUGUGCCACUAUUGCAAUUGUAGCUGGAUUUGGGCUCUUGUUUCUCAUCAUUUUGUGCAUAAGGAAUAAGAGAAGAAAUAACGACUCUAAAGACUCUGAGCAAAAAAAGGCAUCUACAGGAAAGAGCUCUGAAUCUGGAGAUGGUAAAGAUGCUUCUAUUCAAGAUUGCAGAGAUGAAGACACAAAGAAACCUGAAGAGGAUGAGCUUCAUUAUGCCAGCAUUACAAUUCAAAAUACUGCUACUGAAGACAAAUCUACUGCAAGAGAAGAGAAGGAUUUGUCUGUGAUUUACAGCAGCAUCAUGAUCCAGACUUAAUAUUUUCAAUUCUGGGAUUGCAUCUAAAAACAUUAACCAGACUAUAAUGAGAUUUUUUCCCCCCUGGCUUUAGUAUUUGUGUUUCAUUUAAUCAUGAUUACAUUUUGAGUGUGCAUUGCUGUUUUGCUUCUUAUCCCAGUCCCAUCGUAAAUGUAAUUUUGCAAAGUAUAAAUUUGUAUUGCCAUAUUUCCUGUGUGCUAAUAAAAAGUUUCAGACUGGUCAGGUAAUAUCAGAUACUGUUUGUGUGAGUGAGUCUUUUAGUAAAUUACUAAAAAAAUAAAAAUAAAAAAAAUGUCAAAAAUAAACCUGUUAUGAGAAAUACUAAAAGUUUAACAGCUAAACCCAGUCUCCUCUCCGAAGAACGUUGGAGUGACUUGGAGUGCAAAUGUUUUUUUUUUAUUUUUAAUUAUUAUUAUUUAAAUUUAUUUAA